CAUGAAUAGUACUUUAAGUGUGGCUAAUUUUUUAAAAAAAUCAUAAAUUUUUCAAAUAAGACGGACGGUCAAACGUUGGAUACGGAUUUCCACGGCUGCACUUAUU
rnacentral:pre_miRNA from 1 species